rnacentral:rRNA from 1 species
CCGCCAGCUAAGGUCCCAAAUUACUACUAAGUGGGAAACGAUGUGGGAAGGCUCAGACAGCCAGGAUGUUGGCUUAGAAGCAGCCAUCAUUUAAAGAAAGCGUAAUAGCUCACUGGUCGAGUCGGCCUGCGCGGAAGAUGUAACGGGGCUAAGUAGUAAACCGAAGCUGCGGCAAUAUACUUUUGUAUAUUGGGUAGGGGAGCGUUCUGUAAGCGGUUGAAGGUGUGUGGUAACGCAUGCUGGACGUAUCAGAAGUGCGAAUGCUGACAUGAGUAACGAUAAAGGGGGUGAAAAACCUCCUCGCCGGAAGACCAAGGGUUCCUGUCCAACGUUAAUCGGGGCAGGGUAAGUCGACCCCUAAGGCGAGGCCGAAAGGCGUAGUCGAUGGGAAACGGGUUAAUAUUCCCGUACUUCUUACAAUUGCGAUGGGGGGACGGAGAAGGCUAGGUGGGCCUGGCGACGGUUGUCCAGGUUCAAGUGCGUAGGCUUAAGAGUUAGGUAAAUCCGGCUCUUUUUAAGGCUGAGACACGACGUCGAGCACCUACGGGUGUGAAGUCAUUGAUGCCAUGCUUCCAGGAAAAGCCUCUAAGCUUCAGAUUGUAAGGAAUCGUACCCCAAACCGACACAGGUGGUCGGGUAGAGAAUACCAAGGCGCUUGAGAGAACUCGGGUGAAGGAACUAGGCAAAAUGGUACCGUAACUUCGGGAGAAGGUACGCUCUCGACGGUGAAGUCCCUUGCGGAUGGAGCUAUUGAGAGUCGCAGAUACCAGGUGGCUGCAACUGUUUAUUAAAAACACAGCACUGUGCAAAAUCGUAAGAUGACGUAUACGGUGUGACGCCUGCCCGGUGCCGGAAGGUUAAUUGAUGGGGUUAGACUUCGGUCGAAGCUCUUGAUCGAAGCCCCGGUAAACGGCGGCCGUAACUAUAACGGUCCUAAGGUAGCGAAAUUCCUUGUCGGGUAAGUUCCGACCUGCACGAAUGGCGUAAUGAUGGCCACGCUGUCUCCACCCGAGACUCAGUGAAAUUGAAAUCGCUGUGAAGAUGCAGUGUACCCGCGGCUAGACGGAAAUCGGGGUUGCGGACAGUGCCUGGUGGGUAGUUUGACUGGGGCGGUCUCCUCCCAAAGAGUAACGGAGGAGCACGAAGGUGGGCUAAUCACGGUUGGACAUCGUGAGGUUAGUGCAAUGGCAUAAGCCCGCUUGACUGCGAGAAUGACAAUUCGAGCAGGUGCGAAAGCAGGUCAUAGUGAUCCGGUGGUUCUGAAUGGAAGGGCCAUCGCUCAACGGAUAAAAGGUACUCCGGGGAUAACAGGCUGAUACCGCCCAAGAGUUCAUAUCGACGGCGG